AUUGCUGAGGCUCUGGCGUAGGCCGGCAGCUGUAGCUCUGAUUCAACCCCUAGCCUGGGAACCUUUGGGUGUGGCCCUAAAAAAAAGAAAGAAAGAAAGAAAAUGCAAGGAAGUCAGAGCAGAAUCAUAAUAAAACCAAAAGGGGAGAGUAGCCCUUGGGCAAAACAGACUCAUUGAUCUAGAAAAUUUAUUUCUUCUUCUUCUGUUUUUUUGGCGGGGGGGGGGGAGAAUUUACAUCUUUUUUCUUUCUGUGAAAAUAGGUAAAAAGUUUAUUGUUAGAGUCACAGUACAACAUAUGGGAGAGCACACAGGGAAGUAGUUUAUUUACGUCAGAGGCAAAGCAGUAAUACACACCCUAAAGAGGAGUGCAGGUGCGGGUGUGGGCACCCCCAAGAGGUGAUUUAAAUCACUUAACAUAGAACAGUUCUUCCAGGUCUUUGUUUACCUUUAGCUAAUUAUCUUGUUUUAAUUCUCAUACCUGACUGGACAUAGGACCCUCCCCAAUAUGCGUGUGCAUCUUUUGCUUUUUCCCGUCAGUAGGUAGAUUAUCAGAACCAGAGCUGAAUUUCCUGCUCAUGAAGUCCCUUCAGGUGUCCUUGACCCUGUUUGGGGCAAGUCUGCAAUUAUACCUCUGGUGAGAUUAGGUCAGUGAGUUGCUAGUGGGGCCCCAGAGCCAGGGGAGGUGUUGUGACUCAGUCUAUUCGGUUCUAACGAGGCGGCUCCAGAGAGAAGCCCACCCUGCUCUGACACUCAGGUGGUUGAGAAGCCCUCUCCUUCAUCCCUGUGCCCUAAUAGCCCUGGGGGCCUGGGUGGUCUACCUGCAAAGAAACUGCGGGCAAUAUAAAUCUCUCCACCCAGAUAUGUCCAUUUAUUCUAUCCUCCUCCUGUGCCUUGGGAAGCCAAAUCUGCACCCGUGGAAAGAAGAAAAUGGACUCUAGGAUGGGAGAUAACAGUAUCUCAUAGCAAUUAUUAACCACCGUUUUCCUUACAAUGGUGGAGAGCUUUCCAGUCAACCAAGCACUUAGCGGGUUUAUCAGGUCCUCACAACCUCCUACAAAUCAACCAGGUUGGUUGGAAUUGUUAUUUGAAUUUUAGAGAUGAGAAAGUGAGGCUCAGAGAGAUGGUGAGUUUGUGAGGUCAGCUGACUAACUGUCAUCCAUCAGCUCUCUCUUUAGAUGUCACCUCCAAAGGGCUUGCCUGAACUUCUGCUGCCCACCGCCCCCCCAAACCCAUGUAGGAGGUCCUGGAGGCUCCUUAUAAUCUUGUUGCCCUCGAACGCUACCACUGCUCUUUCUGGCACUUCCUUGUGAGAAAGAAGGAAGUGCCUCAUAACAUGUCUGUCUUCCUCACAAAAAUGUAUGGUCCAGGUGGGCAGGGGCUGUGUCUCUCUUGAUCACUGAUGUGUCUGGCACAUAGUAAGUGCUCAUCCUUGAUUUAUUUUUAUUUAUUUAUUUAUUUAUUGCCAUUUCUUGGGCCAUUCCUGCAGCAUAUGGAGGUUCCCAGGCUAGGGGUCUAAUCAGAGCUGUAGCCACCAGCCUAGGCCAGAGCCACAGCAACGCGGGUUCCAAACCAUGUCUGCGACCUACAUACACCACAGCUCAUGACAAUGCCGGAUCCUUAACCCACUGAGCAAGGCCAGGGAUCGAACCCGCAACCUUAUGGUUCCUAGUCGGAUUCGUUAACCACUGAGCCACAACGGGAACUCCUCAUGUCUUUGAUUUAUGACCCAGGGUCUUUCCAUCAAACCUCCCAGACUCUGUUGUUAGCAACCACUGCACAUUCAGAAAAACGCAACAACAAUCUCUGAGAGCUUUACAUUUUACCUAGCAUUUCACAUAUCUGAUCUGUUCCCCAAGCUCAAGUCAAGUUCCAUCCUGGCAGACAAAACCUUUUAUUUCUCAUCUCUCUAUGUUGGAAUCUGAAUGCAAGCCCUUUGUUGAAUAACCUUUAUGACAAAAUACCUUACAGAAAAUUAAACACUUAAAAUCUAAAUAUUCGAUACAUCCUUUUUUUGAGGAAACUCAGUCUCCUUGAUCUCUACUCAUUAGGAAAGAAAAAGCAAAUGAGUUAAUUGCCCUAGAAAUCCUCUUUUUUUAAUUUUAUUUUUUCUCACAAAUGCCUUAACCCCAUCAUCUGUUCUAGGGAAACUGUGAGUCCUCUCUUACCAAACCCUUGACACUAUACCAUCCCCAUCUGGCCCUUGAACUUGCCAAAAGGCCAGGCUCUGGGUCCUCCACACUAAUCCAUAUCCUGUCUUCUAGGUACCUUGGGUGCUGGGUCAGGUACUAAGCAGGGCACACAAUGCCUUAUCUGUGAAGAAUGGAGAUGCUUGGUUUGGUUUGUUAUGAGCAAUUGAAUGAAGUGUGUCACAGAGGAAAAUUAAUUUCUAUUUUUUCCUAGGUGGCUGCAGAGGAGGAACCAGGAGAGAGGAGUGGCAAUUAGAGAAAUGCAAGCUUCAGUUCAGGAUACAAAGGCAUUUUCUAUCAAUGUGAGCCACUCUGCACAGAAUAUGCUGCCUCCUGAAUCGGUAAACUCCACAUUACCAGUGGUGAUCAGAGCCCCAUUACCCACCUGUCAAGGCUACACCAGAGAAGGUUCCUGAGUUGGUAAGGACCUUGGACUUUGACCCCCGUAAUGCCUUUCAGCCUGAGAAGCUACAACUCUUGUGAUUCUUUUUCAGUUUAACAUAAUAACGGAGAACUUGUUUCCCGUCAAGGUCCACCUCAAAACAGAACCGUGUUCUGUACUCUAAACGCAGGUGUUUUAUAUCCAUUUUCACAUAAUGUUCCCAAGAUCAAGGAUCGUGUCUUUCUCUAGGCUUAAAAUAUCUAUGUGUUUCAUUGUUUCUGGCUUUCCUGCUGUCUGAUCUAGCAGACUUUCAUU
rnacentral:lncRNA from 1 species